GUCCGUCCAGCAGGUGGCUUUGUCCUCCUCAGGAGCACUCAAACCCAUGGGGAGAGUCCCUUCAUCACUCACAUAAUCAUCAGUGCUGCAGUAGAAAAUUAGUGGCUACAUUUAAGUCAUUAUUUGAAGCCCUCAAAGCUUCCAGAGCGUCUCCCCUGGAAAAUCCCAUCUCCAUGAGUCGUGCAACCUGUUCUUCAGAAACCUCAGUAGGUGGAGGUGUGUCUUGAUCAGAUGGGUGAUGAUCUUGAUAAUUCUCAUUGUGUCUAUGACGUAAAGGAGGAAACAGUCUAUUCCAGUUAAUCAUCCCACCCUGCUGCUGCCUUUGUCUCCUCAUUUGGGCAACCUGAGACAUCAUGAUCUGUCGAUCCAGUAGCUCCAUUCUCUGCUGCCUCUGGAUGUCGACUGUUGCUCCCAUUCCCACUCGGAUUUCAUUCGUUGGUUCCGCAGAUGAGAAGAUUGGUUCAAGAGUCCAGGAAAAUAUCUUUGCUACCCAGCUGGGUACACAAAGAAUUCGAUGAACUUUUAAUAUACUGCUAUUGUAGCAAAUCCCAG
rnacentral:lncRNA from 1 species